GAAUGAAGAAUGGAGCUUUCUUAUGUUCAACCAUGAGCUGCUGUAAGAUUUCAAUUAGCUGCUGACUCAUUCAUCCAAAUACUAUGUAACAAAAUGUUGUGUUACCUAGUAAAUGAGUGAAUGAAGCAGGAGACAAAUUGGAUCUCAAGCUUCUUGCAUUUGGACUGAAGGGAGCUCCCUUCCCCAUCCAU
rnacentral:pre_miRNA from 2 species